rnacentral:tRNA from 1 species
GGGCAUGUAGCUCAGCUGGUUAGAGCGUGGCUCUUAUAAAGCCAAGGUAGAUGGUUCGAGUCCAUCCAUGCCCA